AUUGAACGCUGGCGGCAGGCCUAACACAUGCAAGUCGAGCGGUAACACAGGGAGCUUGCUCCUGGGUGACGAGCGGCGGACGGGUGAGUAAUGUCUGGGAAACUGCCUGAUGGAGGGGGAUAACUACUGGAAACGGUAGCUAAUACCGCAUAACGUCGCAAGACCAAAGAGGGGGACCUUCGGGCCUCUUGCCAUCAGAUGUGCCCAGAUGGGAUUAGCUAGUAGGUGGGGUAACGGCUCACCUAGGCGACGAUCCCUAGCUGGUCUGAGAGGAUGACCAGCCACACUGGAAAUGAGACACGGUCCAGAUUCCUACGGGGGGCAGCAGUGGGGAAUAUUGCACAAUGGGCGCAAGCCUGAUGCAGCCAUGCCGCGUGUAUGAAGAAGGCCUUGGGGUUGUAAAGUACUUUCAGCGGGGAGGAAGGUGUUGAGGUUAAUAACCUCAGCAAUUGACGUUACCCGCAGAAGAAGCACCGGCUAACUCCGUGCCAGCAGCCGCCGUAA
rnacentral:rRNA from 1 species